rnacentral:rRNA from 1 species
UGGGGAAUAUUGCACAAUGGGGGAAACCCUGAUGCAGCGACGCCGCGUGAGCGAAGAAGGUCUUCGAAUCGUAAAGCCCUGUCCCAUGAGAAGAUAAUGACGGUAUCAUAGGAGGAAGCCCCGGCGAAAUACGUGCCAGCAGCCGCGGCAAUACGUAUGGGGCGAGCGUUGUCCGGAAUUAUUGGGCGUAAAGGGUACGUAGGCGGUCUAUUAAGUCAGGUGUGAAAGCGUGAGGCUUAACCUCAUUAAGCACUUGAAACUGAUGGACUUGGGUGAAGGGGGGGAAAGUGGAAUUCCUGGGGUAGCGGUGAAAGGCGUAGAUAUUAGGAGGAAUACCGGUGGGGAAGGCGACUUUCUGGACUUUUACUGACGCUCAGGUACGAAAGCGUGGGGAGCAAACAGG